rnacentral:rRNA from 1 species
AUUGAAAGCUGGCGUCCGGCCUAACACACGCGAGUCGAGCGGAGCGGCGGACUGGUGAGUAAUGCAUACGAAUCUGCCUGGUAGUGGGGGAUAACGUCAGGAAACGGGCGCUAAUAAAGCAUACUAUCAGAUGAGCCUAGGUCGGAUUAGCUAGUUGGUGGGGGAAAGGACUACCAAGGCGACGAUCCGUAAAUGGUCUGGGAGGAUGAUCAGUCACACGGGAAUUGGGACACGGUCCAGACUCCUACGGGAGGCAGCAGGUGGGAAUAUUGGACAAUGGGCGAAAGCCUGAUCCAGCCAUGCCGAGUGUGUUAAGAAGGUCUUCGGAUUGUAGAGCACUUUAAGUUGUGAGGCGUUACCAUCAGGAUGAGCACCGGCUAACUUCGGGCCAGGCGCCGCGGUAAUAG